rnacentral:rRNA from 1 species
GAUGAACGCUGGCGGCGUGCUUAAUACAUGCAAGUCGAACGGAAAGGCCCUGCUUUUGCGGGGUUCUCGAGUGGCGCACGGGUGAGUAACACGUGAGUAACCCGUCCUUGAAUUUGUGAUAACUUCAGGAAAAUGGGGCUAAUACCGGAUAGGAUCUCUUGCUGCAUGGUGGGGGUUGGAAAGUUUCGGUGGUUGUGGAUGGACUCGCGGCUUAUCAGCUUGUUGGGCGGGUAGUGGCUGACAAAGGGUUUGACGGGUAGCCGGCAUGGGAGGGUGAACGGGCUCAAUGGGACUGAGGGAGGGACCAGACUCCUACGGGAGGCAGUAGUGGGGAGUAUUGCACAAUGGGGGGAAGCGUGAUGCAGAAACGCCGGGUGCGGGAUGACGGCCUUCGGGUUGUAAACAGCUUUCGAAUGUGACGAAGACUGAGUGACGGUAAUGGGUAAAAAAGCACCGGCUAACUACGUG